ensembl:lncRNA
GUGGAUGGUCUCCUGUGUUUGCCUUGGAGCCUGGACAAAGGUGAACUGGGGCUUCUCUGGUAGCUCAGAUGAUAAAGAAUCGCCUGCAAUGCAGGAGACCUGGGUUCAAUCCCUGGGUCGAGAAGACCCCCUGGAGAAGAGCUUGGCAACCCAUUCCAGUAUUCUUGCCUAGAGAAUUCUAUAGACAGAGGAGCCUGGCAGGGUAUUGUCCAUGGGAUUGCAUAGUUGGACACCACUGAGCGACUAACACACACUCAACAUGCUGGACGAAGAUGGCGAUCAGGAAGGGUCCAAGGACACAUGGCACCCACGUGGAGAAGGAUCAGGCUGACAUUCCUACAAAACACGCUAGGGACCAGGCUGACAUUCCUACAAAAUGUGCUCUCUGGAUCCCAAGCCCUCCACAGGGGCAGGAGAUAUCCCUGGACACACCCCUCCUGGCCCUGUGUGCCCUUGGCUGCACUGGAGAGGCAGGUCGCCUUUGCCCCCGCCACUCCCCGCUCGUGAAUGAGGCUCGUGACUCACAUCUGCUCGGCCAAGCAGCCACAGUUAGGGGAGCCUCAUUCAAAUGCCAGGCAGACGCAAAUAGCACGCUCUGCUCGCCUAUGAAUAGCCUGCCCAGCUGUUCUGCAGGAGGCCAAGCCGCAUUCUCAUCCAAAGUACAUUUGUUCUUAUUUAUGAGCUGCAUCAUACACCAUCGGCAGCCUACCUUUGGCCCUUCAAGGCCAGCUUCGUGCGUGUUCUUUGUUCCCUCAAGUCUCGCCAAGUGAAAUAUUAACUACUGGUGGGACAAAGGGCCUGGGAGCCUCUGAAGGCAGGGUUGAUGAAGAAGGAUACCUGGAGGGAGGGUUGUUCACUGACCUGGAAUUUUCCAUUGCUCUGAAGCUCACAUGACCGGGGCAGUGUUUUCUGCAAGCCACGUAGCGAAGCCCAGUGGGAAAGAAUCCAUCUGCCAAUGCAGGGGACAUGGGUUCGAUCCCUGGUCCAGGAAGAUUCCACAUGCUGAGGGGCAGUUAAGCCCACGGACCAUAACUACUGAGCCCGGACUCUGGAGCCCUUGAGCCGCAACCACUGAGCGCAUAUGCUGCAGCUGCUGAAGCCAGUGCCCCAGAGCCUGUUUUCUGUAACAAGAGAAGCCACUGCAAGGAAAAGCCUGCACACCGCCAUGAAGAGUAGCCCCAGCUCACCGCAACUAGAGAAAGCCUGUGUGCACCACCAAAGACCCAGUGC